CUGGACACCAAAGGUAGAAUCGGCUU
rnacentral:sRNA from 1 species